AGAGUUUGAUCCUGGCUCAGGAUGAACGCUGGCGGCGUGCCUAACACAUGCAAGUCGAGCGAUCUUCUUCGGAAGAGAGCGGCGGACGGGUGAGUAACGCGUGGGUAACCUGCCUCAUACACAUGGAUAACAUACCGAAAGGUAUGCUAAUACAAGAUGAUAUAAGAGAUUCGCAUGGAUUUCUUAUCAAAGCUCCGGCGGUAUGAGAUGGACCCGCGUCUGAUUAGCUAGUUGGUAAGGUAACGGCUUACCAAGGCGACGAUCAGUAGCCGACCUGAGAGGGUGAUCGGCCACAUUGGAACUGAGACACGGUCCAAACUCCUACGGGAGGCAGCAGUGGGGAAUAUUGCACAAUGGGCGAAAGCCUGAUGCAGCAACGCCGCGUGAGCGAUGAAGGCCUUCGGGUCGUAAAGCUCUGUCCUCAAGGAAGAUAAUGACGGUACUUGAGGAGGAAGCCCCGGCUAACUACGUGCCAGCAGCCGCGGUAAUACGUAGGGGGCUAGCGUUAUCCGGAUUUACUGGGCGUAAAGGGUGCGUAGGUGGUUUCUUAAGUCAGGAGUGAAAGGCUACGGCUCAACCGUAGUAAGCUCUUGAAACUGGGAAACUUGAGUGCAGGAGAGGAAAGUGGAAUUCCUAGUGUAGCGGUGAAAUGCGUAGAUAUUAGGAGGAACACCAGUAGCGAAGGCGGCUUUCUGGACUGUAACUGACACUGAGGCACGAAAGCGUGGGGAGCAAACAGGAUUAGAUACCCUGUAGUCCACGCCGUAAACGAUGAGUACUAGUGUCGGGGGUUACCCCCCUCGGUGCCGCAGCUAACGCAUUAAGUACUCCGCCUGGGGAGUACGCUCGCAAGAGUGAAACUCAAAGGAAUUGACGG
rnacentral:rRNA from 1 species